rnacentral:rRNA from 1 species
UACAGAGGUCUCAAGCGUUGUUCGGAUUCAUUGGGCGUAAAGGGGUGCGUAGGUGGCGCCGUAAGUCAGGUGUGAAAUUUCGGAGCUUAACUCCGAAACUGCAUUUGAUACUGCGGUGCUUGAGGACUGGAGAGGAGACUGGAAUUUACGGUGUAGCAGUGAAAUGCGUAGAGAUCGUAAGGAAGACCAGUGGCGAAGGCGGGUCUCUGGACAGUUCCUGACACUGAGGCACGAAGGCCAGGGGAGCAAACGGG